CCCGCCGCUGGCGGGGGACCAGGUGGGAGCGGGCCAGCCAGCUCAGCCGCACCCCCCGCGCCGCCGCCGGGAAGCCUGGGGCCCGGCCCGCCUCCCCUUCCCCGCAGGCGACCCGGCUUGUGAGGGCGUUGUGAGGUGCCCCGAGCCCCUUCCCCACAGGCUGGAUACGCGACAAACAGCCCGGCUUCGGCUGUCAAGGGGACAUUGACCCCGACAGCCGGGGAAAGCUUGCCAACAAAAAAACAAGCAGCGGGUUGCGACUCAGGACAGAUCCGCGUCCAGCUGCACUCGCCUGGGGAGAGGACAGGGGAAGAAAGAAAUUCAACUGUGAGAUGGCAAGCUGAAUUGACUUCAAAGACAAAGGACGUAUAUUCAUCCUGGAGUAGAUGAAGAACAAGUUAGAGUUUAUUUAGAAACAGGAAACAUCUGGAAACAGAGAGAAGAAGUGAUGGGCAACCCUGGAGAGUCCUGCUGCUGUGAUUCUGGACUGCAAAUCCCAGAGACCUCAGGGGCAGCAGGAAGAUGAAGCAAACACACAGCUCAUGGCUGGCUAUGUGCCAGAGAGUGCUCCCCAGCUUCUGGCCAAAGCCACUGCAAGCAUGUGGCUGUAUUUCCUGAAUCAAAAAGUACAGUAAAUGCAUGUCCAGUUGUUUCUCAGUUUAAUCUCUGCAGUUUAGACUAACCUGCAAAGACCGAAUCAAUUCAGCCUCAGGCUUCUUGACUGUCUGUACUUAGCCAUUGAGCCUUAUCACUUGAUGUGAAAUGCAAGCUUCUUUAACAAUAAAUAUUAGUCCAUAAACAUAUUUUAAUUGAACACUCACCAUUUCUGUCUGUUCUAAGGUAUAAAUCCAUUUUAUGUACAGUUCCAUGUCUAGGUAUGAAAAUGCAGUAAAGAGGCUGGGGGAGAUAGGCUGCUCCAGAUGGACUGUGGUCAGUGCAGGAUGGACAAAGGAAAAAUUGACAACCAUUUACUGCAAGACAAGAGAUGGAAACUCACCAUCUGCCUCCCCCUGUUCUGUCAGUGCACAGUCUGGCAGUCUGAGCAGCUAUGGUCUGAUUUUUAAACUAGAAGCACAGAAACAGGGAGUGUUGAAGAUGGCUCCACUGUUAAGAGUGAGUGGAGGCACAAAAACAGACCACUUUGCUGAAACAGUUUCUGAAGCAGGUUCUUGACCCACAGCUGGCUAGGAAGGACACCUCCUUGGAUUGGCCCAGAAAAGAGCCUAGAAAGGAAAUGGCACUGAUAAGCAGCCACUGCUAUGUUUGUUGUUAUUAUAUGGAAAAUCAAAUAAUGAGGGGAAAGGGCUUCCAUGUGAUGCCCAAUAAAAUUAUAAUUAUAGACGAUACUAUGUGGGAUUGCUUAGCAUCAUUGGGCAUGUCCACACAUGCAAGCACGUGUGCUUGCAGCAGCUCAAAUAGAAGUGGUGCAAAUUUGAGCCAGGGCUUUUUGCUUCAGAGCACGUGCUCGGACAUGCACUUUGUUGUGGAGCAAAUUAACCCUGCCUGGCUCCUCCCGGAUCUUUAGCCAGGGGCAGCUACAACCUGGGGCCAGCACCUGUGCUGUCCCCAACAGUAUAAAAAGCUGCCUUGUCCUGGCCCCAGCAGUAUAAAAAGCCAACCUGGCAAGUAGCUCAGGGCUACUAGCUCUCAGCAGCUUCUGGGGCCCAGCCAAUUGGUACCUGAGGACACUGCCCCUUGUGCCAGCUGGACUGCUGAAGCAGCCCUGGGAGUUCCCUACACCCUAUACCCACUGCAGCAGUCUGGCAGUGGGGGCUGCUGCCUGGCUGUGACCUGCUGUGCACCUGCCAGACUCAAAUGAGGACUGCACAGCCAGUAGAGGCAUCUGCCCCUCUGGGCCAGCUGCCAGCAGACUGCGGUUGCAGGGUUGGCCUUUUGUGCGGCCCUACUGCCAUGUGUGCCCCCUGCCCGACCAUCUGGGCAGCUAUCACCCGGAAGAUGUUUCAGGUGUAGCGGCCUGCUUUAAACUGUCAAAGCAUGUCCUCCUGGCCCCGUUUGGCCAGGAGGUCAGUCACAGCCAGAUGGGUCCAAGGUGCCAGCUCUGAGCAGGCCGGUCCUGCCACUGGCCUCCCUAGCAGGAAUUCUAGUGUUCCCUAUUGGAAAACUGAAAAACCCCUGAUAAAAAAAAUUCCAAAGUCACUCUGUAAAAUACCCAAAAAUCCAUGUUCCUCCACAAGUAAAACAAAAGACCACCACUAAGAGAGAAAGAGAGAGAGUGAG